AUUUAGAAAGGGCAAAUUAGAGCUUGUUAAAAGCAUUUUAGUUACAUUAAAGUUACUGUGAGAUUCAGUAUGAUUUGAAAUUAAAAAAUUAUUUAGAUUUUAUAUUUAAAAUUUAUUAAAAUAAGUAGAUUAUAGUUUUAGUAUUUAUGAUAGAAAUAAUAAUAUUUAUUAUAGUGAAUCAGUAUUGUGAAUGAAAUUUGAAAAUUAUUCUAAAGAAAAAUUAUUUUUUUGUACCUUGUGUAUCAGGGUUUACUAAAUAAAAUUUUUAUAUUAAAAAUUCUCGAAUUUGAAAGAGCUAAAUUUAUAUAUUUUUUAUUGUAAAAUAAAUAUUAGAAAUAUUGAUUUAGAAAUGAAAUGUUAAUCGAUUUCAAUUAUAUCUAGUUUUUUAAGAAAAAAAUUUAAUUUUUUUAUUUAAUUAAUAAUAAUUUAAAUUUUUAAUUUAUUAUUUUAAAUAGGUUAUAUUUUAAGGGAUGAGCUUUAAGAUAGAUUUUUAUAAGUUAAUAGUUAUUUUGAUAAUAAAUAGGAUUGUAAAUGUCAAUUUUUAAAAUUUUGUUAUAAUUAAUUUUUAUUGUUUUUAGAUUUAUAUUAAUUUUAAAUUUUAUAUUAAAAUAUUUAAUAAAAUUUAAUAUUUAAAUUAAUAAUGGUAAAAUUAGUAUAAUUUUUAGUGUUAAAUUAUUUAUUAGUAAGGUUAAUUAAAGGAAUUCGGCAAAAAUAUUUUUCACCUGUUUAAUAAAAACAUGUCUUUUUGAUAAUAAUUUAAAGUCUAACCUGCCCAAUGAAAAAUUUAAUGGCCGCGGUAUUUUAACCGUGCAAAGGUAGCAUAAUCAUUAGUUUUUUAAUUGAAAGCUUGUAUGAAUGGUUGAAUGAAAAAAUAGCUGUCUCUAAUUAAUUUUUUUAGAAUUUUAUUUUUAAGUUAAAAAGCUUAAAUUUUAUUAAAAGACGAGAAGACCCUAUAGAGUUUGAUAAAAAAAUUUAUUUAUAUUAUUUGGGAUUUAUAAAAAUAUAAAAUUAUUUAUUUGGUUGGGGUGAUUAAAAAAUUUAUUUAACUUUUUUUGUAUUUUUACAUUUAUUUAUGAAUAUUUGAUCCUUAAUUAAAAGAUUAAAAGAAAAAAUUACCUUAGGGAUAACAGCGUAAUUUUUUUUUAGAGUUCUAAUCGAAAAAAAAGGUUGCGACCUCGAUGUUGGAUUAAAAUUAAUUUUUGGUGUAGAAGCUAAAAGUGGGGGGUCUGUUCGACCUUUAAAAUUUUACUUGAUCUGAG
rnacentral:rRNA from 1 species